CGGGUGCCCAAGCUGCUUACUGAAUGUUUUAGCAGCGCUCCCCAGAAACCUAAGUUUAAACUGUUUGUAACAAAAUCGAUUUACAGAGAAUAAAUUCCCUCCCUCCUCCCCAACGCCAAGAAGUUGGGAAAACCUUGCUUCGGAGCGCGGAUCAGUUUACAGCGUCAGAGUGCGGACAGACCAGCAAAGCGAGCCACCUCCCGACAGAGGGAGGGACAGAGGCCGGCCGGGACGGGUGGAGGCGGCUGGAGGACCGGGCGGCACCCCCGGAGGCCGGCGGGGUGGCGGGGUGGCGCCCUGGGGGAGAGGCCAGACACCUUGAGAGAUCUGAUCUUCUGUCAUGAUGAGCAUGUUUCAGCGGUAGCAUCAGGGAAUGAAAUUAUUCAGGGGUGAGCUUCCAGAGCUCUGGACCAGAGGUAAAUGAGCAGAACCCCACAGAAAUGUCCAGGAGAAGGAGCAGAAGAGGAUCUCUAGAUUGUCCUGGAAAGAAUGACCAGGAGCUUCAAGAGGCUAGACCACAUGUAUAAAAAC
rnacentral:lncRNA from 1 species